GUCGUGAGAUGUUGGGUUAAGUCCCGCAACGAGCGCAACCCCCGUCCCAUGUUGCCAGCAUUAAGUUGGGGACUCAUGGGAGACUGCCGGUGACAAACCGGAGGAAGGUGGGGAUGACGUCAAGUCAUCAUGCCCCUUAUGUCCAGGGCUACACACGUGCUACAUUGGCCGAUACAGAGGGUUGCGAUGCCGUGAGGUGGAGCGAAUCCCAAAAAGUCGGUCUCGGUUCGGAUUGGAGGCUGAAACUCGCCUCCAUGAAGUUGGAGUUGCUAGUAAUCGCGGAUCAGCAACGCCGCGGUGAAUACGUUCCCGGGCCUUGUACACACCGCCCGUCACACCACGAAAGCGGGCAACACCCGAAGCCGGUGAGCUAACCCUUACGGGAAGCAGCCGUCGAAGGUGGGGCUCGUGAUUGGGGUGAAGUCGUAACAAGGUAGCCGUAGCGGAAGCUGCGGCUGGAUCACCUCCUUUCUAGGGAGACCUAGAUAUGUCGACCGGGCUUGACCCGCGGCGCCUCGUGCGCCGUGGCGGCGCUGCUCAGUUCUCAGAGACAGCCGGCGGGAAACCCCCGUGCGGUCGCCUCCGUGGUCCUUGAAAACUGCAUUAGGCCAAGCGCUCCUCCCUUGCAAUUGCCGGGGUGGGGCGCUGAUGAGCGCUCCAUUUGAUGAGCCGGAGCGCUCACGGGUAAAAGAAGCCGAGCUCGAGCGUACUCACGCUCGAGCAGCUCACCGUCAAGAUAGUAAGGGCACACGGUGGAUGCCUUGGCACCAGGAGACGAAGAAGGACGUGGACGGCUGCGAUAAGCCACGGCGAGGCGCUGAACAGCCAUUGACCCGUGGAUCU
rnacentral:sRNA from 1 species